rnacentral:rRNA from 1 species
CACGUAGGGUGCGAGCGUUGUCCGGAAUUAUUGGGCGUAAAGAGCUCGUAGGCGGUCUGUCGCGUCGAAUGUGAAAACCCGGGGCUCAACCCCGGGCCUGCAUUCGAUACGGGCAGACUAGAGUUCGGUAGGGGAGUCUGGAAUUCCUGGUGUAGCGGUGAAAUGCGCAGAUAUCAGGAGGAACACCGGUGGCGAAGGCGGGACUCUGGGCCGAUACUGACGCUGAGGAGCGAAAGCGUGGGGAGCGAACAGG